UACGGAGGGUGCAAGCGUUAUCCGGAUUCACUGGGUUUAAAGGGAGCGCAGGCGGGCUGGUAAGUCAGUGGUGAAAGCCUUGAGCUUAACUCGAGAACUGCCAUUGAUACUAUCAGUCUUGAAUAUUGUUGAGGUUUGCGGAAUGGGUCAUGUAGCGGUGAAAUGCAUAGAUAUGACCCGGAACACCUAUUGCGAAGGCAGCAGGCUAACAAGAUUGACGCUGAGGCUCGAAAGCGUGGGGAUCAAACAGGA
rnacentral:rRNA from 1 species